rnacentral:rRNA from 1 species
GACGAACGCUGGCGGCGUGCUUAACACAUGCAAGUCGAACGGAAAGGCCCUGCUUUUGUGGGGUGCUCGAGUGGCGAACGGGUGAGUAACACGUGAGUAACCUGCCCUUGACUUUGGGAUAACUUCAGGAAACUGGGGCUAAUACCGUAUAGGAGCUCCUGCUGCAUGGUGGGGGUUGGAAAGUUUCGGCGGUUGGGGAUGGACGCGCGGCUUAUCAGCUUGUUGGUGGGGUAGUGGCUUACCAAGGCUUUGACGGGUAGCCGGCCUGAGAGGGUGACCGGCCACAUUGGGACUGAGAUACGGACCAGACUCCUACGGGAGGCAGCAGUGGGGAAUAUUGCACAAUGGGAGGAAGCCUGAUGCAGAAACGCCGGGUGCGGGAUGAAGGCCUUCGGGUUGUAAACCGCUUUCGCCUGUGACGAAGCGUGAGUGACGGUAAUGGGUAAAGAAGCACCGGCUAACUACGUG